rnacentral:lncRNA from 1 species
AGAAGAUUAUGGUGGUGGUGAGAAAAGAAAAGGUGAAGAAGGCCAUAGAGAAAUGGAGAAGAAAGCCAAGGGAGGAGAGAGAGCCAGAGAGUUAGCAGAGAUGACAAUAUUGAAAGAAGAAUCAGCCACUAUAUGUAUAACACAUUACCUCCAUUGAAGGGCACGUCAAUAAUUGACCAAAGCCAAAUAAGGAAAAAAAAACACACACACACAAAUGCAUUUACAACAGUGCAUUGAUUUUUCAUUUAGUUGGCUUGACAAAAAUAAAAAACCUGGCACAACAAAAACUCGAAAAGAAAAUAAUUGAGCUCAGAG